GGUUAUUUUCCUGACACCACACUCCGAGGGCCCUCACCUCCUUCCCUGUAGGCCGUCUUCCCUGUAGGUCGUUGUUGGUAAUCAAGCCUACCACUAUAGUGUCGUCUGCAAACUUGAUGAUUGAGUUGGAGGCGUGCACUAAUCCCGUAGAGGUUGAGUAACCGCAAGUAUAAGACUAGUCUAGUGUUACUCAAUUAUUCAUUGGCUAACGUUAGCUAACUCUCUAAACUGAUAGAUUGUAAAUUAGACAGAUGUUUCACAGAAGCGUGGCCUGCAAUAAUUUGUUCAUUUUACUUACUUAGGAAGGAUUAUAGAGAAUGAAACGUACUGUAAGACGUACUGUAAGAAUUCCCACCCGUGUUUUGCAAUGCAGUGAGGGACCUUGUAUAAAGUCAAGACAGUAGCAAUAUUGUGAAACCAGUGAAACUCUAGCUGUCUACUAGGUUUCUAACACAGAAAGAACAAUGAUACAGAUAUUUGACUGGGUGUGUAAAUGCGAAGCAUCCGGUUGGCGUUUCCACUCACUACCAAAUAUGGUAGAGGGGACACUAAUCCAAAUAUGGUAGUGAGAGGAAGCCCACUGUGGGCCGUGGGAGAAGAUGGAACAGGUGGAUUUUGACCGACAUUCUGCAAAUCUUCUCAUCAAUUAAAUGUUUUAUCUCAAUACAGUUUUCUGUUCCCAAAACUAGACUUCACCCUUUGCAAAGGUUUUUUAAUAUUUUUUUAAAUCGCGAUGUUUAGGAGUGCAAAUGCGAAUGGAGUUAUUGCACAUGCGCACUUCACAUAGUAGGCGUUCCCUAACGGAAAUAUGCAGAUGCAUAUUAGAACGCGCCAAUAGGAUAUCGCUUGCGCGUGCUUGGCUCUGCCCGACCAUCCUUGCUUGUUCUGCCCACUAUGACUAAUUUGUUCACAUUGGAAACGACAAGCAGUGGUCUAUCUUGGUUUAGUUAUAACAAUCUUUGUCUUUACAUUUGACGUCCAAGGGGUGUCAUUAUAAUUUGUAUCGUAUUGUAUUCUUCAAGUGUACAUAGUUGUUUGUCCUGGAUAACGCAUACUCGUGCGAUUUUAGUUCAAAAUAUCCCAAUAUUUCUAGACCGUCCCUAAAAUGUUCAUGAAGUACCUCCCAUUUCCGUGUUGAUACCUUGUAUAAAAAGUCCAACAGAGCAUUUUCGCAGACAGAAGCGGGGAGUGACAUUUACCAGGCAAAUGGCUGUAUGUAAGAUGUUCUACGACCUGACAGCAAAGCUCCUUACAGGAGAAUUGUUUAAUUUCUCGUCUCUUCAGGGUAAAGUGGUGCUGAUCGAGAAUGUGGCGUCUCUCUGAGGCACGACCACCAGGGAUUACACCCAGAUGAAUGAGCUCCAUGAACGGUACGCCGACAAGGGGCUAGUGAUUCUGGGGGUGCCCUGCAAUCAGUUCGGACAUCAGGAGAACUGCAAGAACGAAGAGAUCCUGAUGUCCUUAAAGUAUGUCCGUCCGGGAAAUGGCUUUGAGCCGAAGUUCCAGCUCCUUGAGAAAGUGGAUGUGAAUGGGAAGGACGCCCACCCGCUGUUUGUGUACCUCAAGGAGAAGCUGCCAUUCCCAAGCGACGAGCCCAUGGCCUUAAUGAAUGACCCCAAGUGCAUCAUCUGGAGUCCAGUCUGCAGGACUGACAUCGCCUGGAACUUUGAGAAGUUCCUCAUUGGGCCAGCUGGAGAGCCAUUCAAGCGUUAUGGCAGGAGAUUCCUUACCAGCAACAUUGAGGGUGACAUCAAGGAGCUUCUCAAUACGGCUAACUAAACCGGCCAUGUUGGUCACACAGAAGCAAUGGUGGGGAGUGGAAAUCAUGUCAAUGACUUGUAAUGGCUUUUCAAAUGAUUAAGUAUUGUCACACUUUGGGACAUGUGCUUGGCCAUGACUUAAAAAAGAAACAACUUUCAACAGCUCCCCAUUCAACAAAUACUUCCUCCAUACAAGAUUAGCUUCUGUGUGACAGCAGCACACCCAUUAUCUUUUCAAAUCAUGUGCUGUGCUCUCAUAUGCAAAAAGCUGCUGUGUUCUGAACUUUUAUUAAAUGAAGGCAUCCAUUGAAACCAAGCCUUUUGUGAGAGGGAUGUCUGAUGAAAUGUAAAAGACUUAACAUAAGUUGCCUUUGGCCCAUGUAAAGCACGACUGUGUUUCAAGAAGUGUAAGAAGUUGGCCAAAUAAAUUAUUUUCCCCUU